AUUGAACGCUAGCGGGAGGCUUUACACAUGCAAGUCGAACGAGUGGCGGACGGGUGAGUAAUAUAUCGGAACGUGCCCAGUAGAGGGGGAUAACUACUCGAAAGAGUGGCUAAUACCGCAUACCAUCGGAGCGGCCGAGAUGGGAUUAGCUAGUAGGUGGGGUAAUGGCUCACCAAGGCAACGAUCCGUAGCUGGUUUGAGAGGAUGACCAGCCACACUGGAACUGAGACACGGCCCAGACUCCUACGGGAGGCAGCAGUGGGGAAUAUUGGACAAUGGGGGAAACCCUGAUCCAGCCAUCCCGCGUGUAUGAGAAGGCCUUCGGGUUGUAAAGUACUUUUGGCAGGGAAGCGGUAUCUGCAGAAUAAGCACCGGCUAACUACGUGCCAGCAGCCGCGGUAAUUC
rnacentral:rRNA from 1 species